UACGUAGGCAGCGAGCGUUGUUCGGAGUUACUGGGCGUAAAGGGUGUGUAGGCGGUUGUUUAAGUUUGGUGUGAAAUCCCCCGGCUCAACUGGGAGGGUGCGCCGAAUACUGAAUGACUAGAGUGCGGGAGAGGUGAGUGGAAUUCCUGGUGUAGCGGUGAAAUGCGUAGAUAUCAGGAGGAACACCGGUGGUGUAGACGGCUCACUGGACCGUAACUGACGCUGAGACACGAAAGCGUGGGUAGCAAACAGG
rnacentral:rRNA from 1 species